UUUUUUUGUGUUUCACCCACAACUAAGCAAAACAAAAAAAGGGAAAACAAAAAUCUACUUAGUAAAGAAAGCAAACAAGCACACACGAGAAUAUCAACCCCACGCUAUUGCUCCCCGGCAACGGUGCCAGAAAAGAGCUCGAUAAUCCUCAAGUGCAGGGAAUCAUCAUAGCAAUUACCAAAGGUGGAAGUGAUAAGUAUGGAGUGUCGAACCCACAAGGAGCUAAAGGCAAGAUCAAUAUUAUCUCAAGUCCUAUCUGCCACUAAUACGACUCUACGUACACCAAACAUUUGCUUCCAACUAGAAAUGAGAAAUAAAACUACGUUGUGGGUAUGAAGAGGAUAACUUUGCAUUAUAUCGGAGAGCUAAGAUAUAAAAGUAGGUGCUGUUAUCAUAAAGUUAGAAUAUAUUACUAAAUAUUUAAAUAGCGAGUGUGGAAUAAUGAUGGGUCGGUGUGCGGAAUUAUCCUAGGCGAUUGUUAACAAGACCGGUAAUCACUAUUGCAAUUUCAUAUGAGGGAGAGGCAUAAGCUAACAUACUUUCUCUUCUUGGAUCAUAUGCACUUAUGAUUGGAACUCUAGCAAGCAUCCGCAACUACUAAAGAUCAUUAAGGUAAAACCCAACCAUAGCAUUAACAUAUCAAGUCCCCUUUAUCCCAUACGCAACAACCCCCUUACUCGGGUUUAUGCUUUUAUUACUCAAGCAAUCCACUAUAAGAGAAUCAUGAACGUAUCACAACACCCUACAGCGGGAAUCCCUCACGCUUGCGCGACACGGAGGGCACAAUAGGACAACACCAAAAUAAAACAUACAACUCAUACCAAUCUAGAUCAUCAAUUAAUCCAAAGACAAAGGAUAUCUACUCAAAACAUCAUAGGAUGGCAACACAUCAUUGGAUCAUAAUAUGUGGCAUAAAGCACCAUAUUCAAGUAGGGAUUACAGCAGGGUGCGGGAGAGUGAACCGCGUAAAAGAGAUGAGGAUGGUGAUGAUGAUGGUGAUGUUGAUGAAGACAAUCACCGCAGCCAUGAUUCCCCUCCCGAUGGCACUCCGGUGCCACUGAGAGAGAGGAGGAGAGGUUCUCCCCCUUGUGCUUGCUCCUCCAUGGCCCCCCAUGGAUGGGGAGAGGUUCUCCCUCUGGACCUUGGCCUCCAUGGCGAUGAUGGCCCCUCCGGGAUCCUCCUCCAUGGCCUGCGGUGAUGAUGGCCCCCUUCGGCAGGGUGCCAGAGAGGGCCUAGAUUGAUUUCUCGUGGCUACAGAGGCUUGCGGCGGCGGAACUUCUGAUCUAGGUUAUUUUCUGGAGGUUUGGGCAUUUAUAGGAGAGGUUGGCAUCGAGAGCAAGUCAGGGGGGCCCACGGAGAGUCCAUGAGUCAGGGGCGCGCCCCAGGGGCUGGGGGCGCCCUCCAUCCUUGUGGGGCCCACGGGACUCCCCUCCGAUAACUUUUUGUUCCAGUAUUUUUUAUAUCUUCCAGAAAAAUUCUCCGUUGAUUUUCAGCGCAUUCCGAGAACUUUUAUUUCUGCACGAAAACAACACCAUGGAAGUUCUGCUGAAAGCAGCAUCAGUCCAGGUUAGUUCUAAUCAAAUCAUACCAAAAUCAUAUAAAACAUUUGUAAACAUGGCAUGAACACUUCAUAAAUUAUAGAUACGUUGGAGACGUAUCAGUCUCCGGGCCCUCACGCUUAUAAUGAGAUGCGUCGUCCUCUUUGUUGUAACACCAUAAAGGGGUUACUCUAGACUGAAGGGGCUGGAUGCAUUGCUUUAUCGCGAUGGCCAUGACUUCGACUAUCAAGAGUUCAGAAUGAGCGUGUAACCUGACCUUGCUGACCAACCUAUUACUUCCGCACUGUCUUCUUGCUUGGGGCUUCAGGGGCGCCAAUUGAGGCGUUUCUUCAAAGGAGCGCUGGAGAAUUCGGGAAGACCGCGUUAAACUGGGUCCGGAAGGGGAACAUCGUCAAUAUAAAACCAUUCUGAAGUCCAUUCUUCGGCUUCCUUUUUGGGAGUUCCAAUGAGGUAACCCGAUCCGGCUAUGCGACAUACUUCGGCGCCGCCCACUUCAAAUAUAGAACCCCCUUGAUGACAAGGGAUGAGGCAAAAGAACUUUCUCCAUAGUUCAAAUGAGCUCUGCAGCCUAAAAACAGUUCGCAGAGAGUGACAAAACUUGAUAUGUGCACGAUAGAACCUGGUGUAAGGUUCUGCAGCUAGAUCCCGUAGAACUCCAGUAGACCCCUGAGGAAGGGGUGGAUUAGGAAUCCUAAGCCCCUGAGAAGAAAUGAGAUGAAGCACACCCUCUCCUCCUUGUUGGGGUUGGGGAAAUUCUCUGCUAGCACGACAUUGCCAAUCGAGGCCAAUCCGGCCUGCACGAAGACUAGAUCUAUGGGAGGGAGAUAUCCCUGCAUCUGAAGUCGAUUCAGCUAGAGGUGGGACACUGAGCAGCUUCGCCAAUCACCCUCUUGAGGGCCAUGAGGGUGUGAGGAGGAGCUAGGAGCGCUUGCCAUGUUUUGAAGUUUUUCGUGGUUUGCUUUGAUGCUCUUUGUGCGAUGUGGGAUGGCAUUUAGGGAUCUAACCUCUUUAUAUAGAUGCUGCCCGUGCAUGGUAAGGGGCUUAUUUGUAAAAAAAUUAUGGAACGUUCGCAUUCGCCCAACGUGUGGAAAUCGAGGCGAUGACAGGAAGGAAUUGUAAAGGCAGAACAUGGAGGUUAAAACUGGAUUGUCGUUAAUCCAGAGUAUGAUGAAGAACCUGCCUUGCAAAGCCGAAGACAUAAGUCAGAUACUACAUCGCCAUUGAAGGAAAGUUCGGGGGCUACUGAGGGAGUCCUGGAUUCGGGGGUCCUCAGGUGUCCGGUCUAUUCGAUAUGGGUCGGACUAAUGGGUUGUGAAGAUAAAGCAGAAGACUAUCCCCCGUGUCCGGGUAGGACUCCUAUAUGCGUGGACGGCAAGUUUGGUGUCUGGAUAUACUGUUUCCUUCUUCUGUAAACUGACUCUGUACAACCCUAGGCCCCUCCGAUGUGUAUAUAAACCGGAGGGUUUAGUCCGUAAGGCUAUCAGAACAAUCAUAGGCUAGACUGCUAGGGUUUAGCCAUUACGAUCUCAAGGUAGAUCAACUCUUGUAACCCCUAUACUCAUCGAAUACAAUCAAGUAGGACAUAGGGUUUUACCUCCUUUAAGAGGGCCCAAACCUGGGUAAACAUCGUGUCCCCAUUGUCCCUUGUUACCGUUGAUCCUUAAACUCACAACUUGGGCCCCCCUACCAGAGAUCUGCCGGUUUUGACACCGACAAUCACCCCGAUUACCAACGACUGCAUUAAGGAGUGGUGGUUUAGAUCUAGAAAAGCCCCUACUGAAGAUCAUCAAGAAGGGAUUCAACUAUGUGGUCAUACUCACUGCUUGGACCAUUCAGAACAUGAAUGCGAUGGUUUUCGGGAAUAUGGACAACAACAAUUCAUCCCGGCUCUUGUGAAUAACAUUCAUGAACUCCAGACCUGGAGGGCUGCUGCAGCAGUGUGUUUACAACAUUUUGUGAGAGAGUAGCUUUUUAGGCUUGUUGUGGUGUUGGCUUGUGGCAUGAGUUGCAUUGCUAUUAGUCUAUUCAUGUAACAUACCUUGUUGCUUUCCAUGGAGUAUACAAAUACAGACUCGCUAAAUCUCAGUCGACUGAGAUUUAGUGAAGUCUUAGUCGACUGAGAUUUAGUGAAGUCUCAGUCGACGAGCCACAUGUCAGAUCCUUGUUUGCUUCAAGAUUCAUGCUGGAAGUGGGUUGUCUUGUUUCAGCCUGUGUAACACGUGUGUCGAGCCCGUUUUUUUGUCGGGCUUCUUUGUGUCGGGGAAAGGGAGAGUCUUCUCAGUAGGCUAUUCAGAUUUCUUUUGUUUGUUUUUUCCAGCUGUCAUACUAUAGAUCUGAGGGUAGGUGUUCCUCCGAUUUCUUCCGUUUGUUGGUCCAGAAGGUUGUUUUAAGUAGAGAUUAGUAGUUAUCUUCAUUUUUCCCAUCCGAGGGGGAUUUGUUUGUUCUCGUAGUUUGGACAAAGUGUAGAUUAAUAGUUUAUUUUUUACCAGUAGUCAAAAUAUAUUUUGGAUCAACACAAAUUAGUAAGUUUUAUUUCCAGUAGUAUGGAUCGAGUACAAAUUUUAUUUCAAGCAAAGUUUCUAGUAGUUUCAAGCAGAGACCCCCCCUCCCCCUCCCCCAAUUUUUUUGGUUGGGUGGUCUAGUAUUUUCAAGCAGUGUUUCUAGUAGUUUCAAGUAGAAAUGUUUCUUUGUUUUAAAUGCAAUAGAAUUUGUUGUUAGUCAAUAUAGAGUUUCUGUUAGUUUUCAAGUAGAGAUUCCAGAAGUAUGCAUGUAUUUAUGUUUUUCUGUCUAGUUUUUGAAAUGUUUCUUUUUUUAACAACAACAGAAUUUGCUUGUUAGUCAACAGAAUAUGUGCAUUUUCAAUUUUUGUGACUACAUCCUCUUAACAUAUCCACUUAUACGUAAAAAUAUCUACUUAUACAUAUUUUUGUUAGUAAUUGUUUCUUUUUUAUAUCAUCUAUGCAUAUAUGUUUGCUUUUAUCAUAUCCUAGUUAAGAAAUCGUUGUUUGCUUGUAUGGUCAUAAAAUAUGUCCUUUUCAUAUCCUUGUUAACAUCUUCGUGUUUUUUUGUUUUUUAUGCGUGCAAGAGAUGGUUUGUGAAGUUUGCUUGAGUCGUUGCAAGCACAAGAACAUGGGUAGCAGUUGUCAUCUAUGUAUGAGGAAUUUAAAAUCACGUCUAUGUAUGGGAGGAAUUUAAAAUCACAGCGGUAACUCAACAACUUUCAACGGCAACUACAAGUGACCAUUGUUUUGUUAGUGGGCGGGAGAGGGGGGUAGUUGCAUGUUUGAGACUAGGCAUGCAACUACAAGUGCUUGUCUACCCACCCGGUCGUAACUGACCUUUUUUUAUGUUGGAGGAUGACGGGAAAGGAGGGGUAGUUGCAUGUCUGACACUAGGCACACAACUGCAAGCAUCGCCCCAACUGCAAUUGCAUGUCUACCGAUCUAGCUGCAACUAAGUUUUGUUUCAUCGAAGAGAGGCGGGAGAGGUGGUAGUUGCAUGUCUGGCACUAGGCAUGCAACUAAAGUGUCGCCUUGAUUGUAACUGCAUGUCUACCCAAAUGACUGCAACUGAACCUUUUGUUUUGUCGAUAGGCCGCGGGAGAGGGGGCAGUUGCAUGUUUGACGCUAGGCAUGCAACUGCAGGUGUCGCCCUCGACUGCACCUACAUGUGUACCCACCCGACUGUAACUAUCCUUUUGUUUUCUCGGUGAGCAGUGGGAGAGGGGGGAGUUGCAUGUCCGACACUAGGCAUGCAACUGCAAGUGUCGCCCUCGACUGCAACUAACUUUUUUACUAUGUCAGACGAUGACGAGAAAGGGGGCAGUUGCAUGUUUAACACUACGCUCACAACUGCAAGCGUCGUACCCGACUACAAUUGCAUGUCUACUGAUCCAACUCCAACCGAGCUUUGUUGUCAGCUGGCGGUGGGAGAGGGGGCGGUUGCAUGUCGGCCACUAGGCAUGCAAUUGCAAGUGUCGCCCCAACUACAACUGAACUUUUUAUUUUGUCGGAGGGCAUCGAGAGAAGUGGGGGAAGUUGCAUGUUUAACACUUGGCAUACAACAGCAAGUGUUGCCCUCGACUGCAAUUGCAUGUCUACCCAUCAGACUGCAAUUGACCUUUUUUUCGUUGUAGGAUGGCGAGAGGGGGCAGUUGCAUAUCUGACACUAGGUAGGCAACUUCAAGCAUCGCCCCCCACUGCAACUGCAUGUCUAACCAUCCGACUGAAAUUGACCUUCAUUUCGUCAGAGCACAACAAGAGAGGGGGCACAGUUCGAUGUCUAGACACUACACAUGCAACUGCAAGUGUCACCCGUGUUCUUUUUUCUUCGUCAGGCCUUUUUGUUGUGUACGAGUGUUGCUUUUGUGGGAUGGGCACGUGUUCAAACAUGCAUUUUUGUUUCUUUUAUUCUUUUUGUCCUUGUUUUCUGUUGCAUUCGUGCUGGAUUGUUCCCCUGCUUCGCUCCCAUUUUCUUUUUUCUCUUUACCAUUUUUCUGUUUUCUAUUAGUUCUUAUUUUUUUCAAAAAUAUUACCACUUGUUUGCACAUACAUCGAUCACACACAAUUGCAUGUACAUACAACCGCGCGUAAUUACAUGUCUACUAUCGGUGUGGAACUUUUUUCUUUUCAUGUCUGCCACUAAACACAUCACUGCAAGUGUCGCUCCCGACUGCAAUUGCAUGUCUUCAACGUGACUGUGACUCAGUGAUGUUUUUGUCAGGAGGGGGAUAGUUGCAUAUGUUCCACUAGACACAUUGUCGCCACGACUACAACUACAUGUCUUUCGAAGUGCAACUUUUGUGGUGUUAUUAUUAUCACUACUACUAUUGUUCUCAUAUUAUGUAUUUUUUCUUCUCAUUUUAUUUUGUUGUUGUAUUUUUAGUUAUUUUCUAUUUUUGUAAACACAUUGUGAACCUUUUUUUAAUACACAUGAUGUAUUUUAAUAAUAUUUGUUUCAACACAUGAUGAAUAAUUUUGAAAAUAAACAAGCACUUUUUCCAAAAUAUUACGAUAAAUGUAAACAAAGCUUCCAUUUCUUUUUUACAGUGAACCAAUAACUAAUUUUUCGAAGGAGAUAAACAUUUAACAAACAAAAGGAAAAACAGAAAAACCAAACAGAAAACCGGAUGGUAGGAGAACCAUGCAAACCGCUAAGGUUACUACUUUUUUGAGACAUCUAAGGUUACUACUGGUCCUCCCCGUAAAACAAAAAAGUUUUACUAUUGGCCCGACUAGUGUGCCAGAACGAGCAUCUCCAAAAACUCUUGAUAGAGUCAAAAAAUCGCUGACCCAAAAGCACACAACAACCAAGAAAAUGAAGGCAUUAGGCUGCAAUAACAGGGUCGGCGAGCAACAGUAGAAAAGUAGCAGACUUAAUAAGAAACUAAAAUGGGUUGGGCUACUGUUGAACGAUGUCACCUGACUUAGACUUCGCGAAGUUUCAGUCGACUGAGACCUAAACCGACCCGAGUCUACCUAGAUCUUAGUCGACUUGCACUUCAUGAAGUCUCAGCCGGAUGAAAUCGUCCAUUUUUUUUACUUUUUUUAUAGAACACAUCAUCCCUUUGUUGUUUAUUAUUGUCCAGUCCAUUUCUCGAUUGCUUGUUGCUUUCUGGGUUGGUCAUGUCUUUGUGCGCAUCGAAGCAAAGUUGGGCUAGCGAUUUCGCGCAGUAUUUUUCUUCGGCGCUACUGCUCAUCGACUAGCCAUGGUGCACCAGUCGGCUAUAUUAGCUGAAAAAGCUGCUGUAGGUAUGCCCCAAAAUAAGAAAUAAAAAAACUAUUGUCUUUGCAAUUCUUUAACGUGUUGUUUCUAUCAGUUUUGUCUGGUUUUUCUUUUUCAUUUUUACUUACAUUUUUACAGAAAUGUAACAAUUGUCAUCAUAUUUAGAAAUAAAUGUGUUCGUAUAUUUUUCUAAUAUUAAUUGUGUAUUUCAAAAAAUAUCAUGCAACUAGAAAAAUUCCAAAAAAAUUAUUUAAAAAUAUUGCUUUUGCAAUUAAAAAAUGUUGUUUUAGCUAGUAUUUUCUUUCUUGGGUUGGGUGUCGCCAAGCAUUUUUUUACUUAUCUAUUUGUAAUUUUGCUAUCAUCCAAAUAAUUGACAAAUGGUACACUAACAAGAUAAGGUGCAGACAUGGAACUAGGUUGUUGUCGCAUGUUUUUUUCAAAAACAUCUUUUUAGAGAAAAAAAUGUCAAAAAAUUAAAUAAAAUAAAAAUAAAAAGUAGUAAAUAGAAAAGAAAAUGAAACAAAAUUAAUAAUAGAGUGGGGAUAUGACACAGUCGAUUGAGAGUUUAUUAAGUCUUAGUGAGCUGACAUUUGAACCAAUGCAAUUGUUGUUGGGGCAACACUUCGAGUUGCGGGCCUAGUGUAGACAUGCAACUACCCAUUUUUCACGAUAAAAAAUCACAGAGCCAUGAGAGACACUUGCAGUUGCAUGCCUAGUGGCAAACAUUCAAUUGACCCUCCACAAAACACCACCAAGUUUGUAGUUGUGUUAAAGACAUGCAGUUGCAGUCGGGGUGACACUUGCAACUGCAUCCCUAGUGGCGGCCAUGCAACUACCCUCUCCCCAGAAAUACACCAUAGAGUUGCAGGCCCAUUGAAGAUUUACAUUUGCAGCUAGGGCGACACCUGCAGUUGCAUGCCAAGUGGCAGACAUGCUACUGCCCCUUUCCUAAGAAAACCCAGCGACUUGCAGUCACAUUGAAGUCAUGCUGCUACAAUCGGUGCGACACUUAGAGUUACAUGCCUAGUGGCAGAUAUGCAAUUGCCCCAGUCCCUAAGAAAACAUCACAAAGUUGCAAUUGACUUGAAGGCGUGCAAUUGUAGUCAAGGCGAUAAAUGUAGUUGCAGGCCUAGUGACAGACUUGCAAUUGUCUCUCCCGACAAAAAUACCAUAGAGUUGCAGUUGCGUUGAAGACAUGCAGUUGCAGUCGGGGCCAACACUUGCAGUUAAAUGCCUAGUAGCAGACAUGCAACUACCCCUUACCUGAAAACAUCAUCACAGAGUUACAAUCGACUUGAAGACAUGUAGUUGCAAUCUAGAAUGACACUUGCAGUUGCACCCCUAGUGACAGACAUGCAACUAUUCCUCCCGACAAAACAACAAAGAGUUACAGUGCCAUUGAAGACAUGCAAGUGCAGUCGGGGCAAUACUUGUAGUUGAUUAUUGGUGGUAGACAUGCAACUGCCUCUCCCUUCGACAAAACACCACCAGAUUGCAGUCGUGUUGAAGACAUGCAAUUGAAGUCGGAGGCGACACUUGUAGUUGCAUGUUGGUGACAAACAUACAACUGUCACUCUCACCCGUCAAAACAUCACUAAGUUGUAGACGCGUUGAAGACAUGCAAUUGCAGCCGGGGGGAGGGGACACUUGCAAUUGCUUGUUGGUGGAAGACAUGCAACUACCACUCCCCUGACAAAGACAACCAAGUUAUAGUCGUGUUGAAGACAUGCAAUUGUAGUUGGAGCUAACACUUGCAGUUCUGUGUUGGUGUCAAACAUGAAACUACAUCAUCCUCUGUCAGAAACGCCACCAAGUUGCAGUCACGUUGAAGACAUGGAGUUGUAGUAGUUGGCGACAUUAGCAGUUGCAUGACUAGUGACAGACAUGCAACUACCCACACCUGCAGUCAUUUUUUUGCAGACAAGCGCAAGUUGAAUACCUCGUCAUAGACAUGCAACUGCCCCUUCCCCAACGAAAAACUACUGACUUGCAGUCACACUGAAGAGAUGCAAUUGUUGUCGAGGCUGACACUUGCAAUUAUGUGCCUAGCGGCAGACAUGCAACUUCCCUCCUCCCGGUGAAAGACCACAAAGUUGUGGUCGAGGCAAUACUUGCAGCUACAUGCCUAAUGGAAGNNNNNNNNNNNNNNNNNNNNNNNNNNNNNNNNNNNNNNNNNNNNNNNNNNNNNNNNNNNNNNNNNNNNNNNNNNNNNNNNNNNNNNNNNNNNNNNNNNNNNNNNNNNNNNNNNNNNNNNNNNNNNNNNNNNNNNNNNNNNNNNNNNNNNNNNNNNNNNNNNNNNNNNNNNNNNNNNNNNNNNNNNNNNNACACACACACACAAAACACCACAUAUUUGCAGUCGUGUUGAAGACAUGCAGUUAAAGUUAGGGGUGACACUUGCAGUUGCAUGCCUAGUCGCCGAUAUGCAGUCCCCUGGAUAAAACAAAAUAGUUCUCCAUUCAGGAUCGACACUUGCAGUUGCAUGCCUAGUUGUAGACAUGCAACUGUCCCUUUUCCAACAAAACACCACUAAGUUGCAGUCACUUUGAAUACAUGCAGCUGUAGUUCAAGGUGAUUGUGUAGAUUAGACACCAAAUAUUCUCAAAUAAAAAAAUGAAAAUUUCUUUAAUAAGGAAAUUUAAAAAAUGGUAGCAAACAAAUGUGUCGUUAGCAAGAAAAAGGUUUAAAAGACCAAUAUAAAACAAUAAGAGUGAAAAUACAAAGUCAGGAAAAUCAACAUCACCAAAGGAACACAAAUGAAAAAAGCAUUAAAAAGCACUUAAGAUAAAGAAUAGUAAAAUGCAUACGAAACACUAGUAAGUUACAGUCAUAUAGAAGACAUGCAGUUGUAGUCGACGAUGACUCUUGGAGUUGUGUGUCUAGUGAGAGACAUGCAACUGCCUCACCCCCCCUAUACCAUAGAUUUACAGUCGAGAGUGACACUUAUAGUUGCGUAACUAGUGACAAACAUAAAACUGCCCCUUCCUUCCCCGAAUACCACUCAGUUGCAGUCGCAUUGAAGGCGGGCAAUUGCAGCCAAAGGGAACACUUGCAAUUGUGUGCCUACUGGAAGAUAUGCAACUGACCUCACACACACACCACCGAAUUACACUCGCAUCAAAGAAAUGCAGUUGUCGUCGGGGGAAACUUGCAUUUACUUGCCUAUUGGCAAACAUGCAACUACCUUUUCCCGAUGAAAAAAGAAUAAAAAGGGAAAAUAUACGCAAAUAUAAGUCAUUCACCAAUUGCAUGCAAGGUGAGCCGCGUGUAGUUGUGCAGGAUAGAUGGGCAUGCAAGAUACAACAAAAACAUUAUUCAAGGCUGGAAAAUAAAUAAUAAAAUAAAGCCAAAUAAUAAAAUGAUAAAAAUGAAUGAAAAAAAAUUAAGAAUGAAUGAAAGCCAAAUAAUAAAAACACACAAAGAUAGUUCAAAGAAAGAUUUAUGAGAGAAAAACAUAACAAGAAAAAAAAGAAGGGAAGUAAGUAAGAAUUUAAAAACAAACAAAAACAAACAAAUAAUGAUAAAAUUCAAAAGGUUAAAAUAACCUCGAUAUCUAAAAUGAAUGAGUGCAAGCCAUUUAAAAAAAUAGACAACAUUUCGACUGAAAAAAGAAAUGCAACAAAAAAUUGCACGAAUCUUGGCACAUAGAUUAAAUGGUUUAUCGCAUUAGCAAAUCUUAUAUGAUAAAAUCUUGACCCACAACUAUACAUGCACGAAAAAGAAACCAUGGAGGAAAAUAGAAGUGUGCAUUGAUUAUCACGUGCUAAAAUAUGUAGGGAAAAAAUAGGACACACAUGUUGAUCCAGUAGAAAAAACAAGGCAACCGAUCCUAAAGAAAAAUCAGACAACCACCCGGCAUGUUUCCAACUACAGCCCAACAGACAAAAAAAGAAACAGGCCGACCGCGUCCCUGACAGGCUGAUUUAAACGUGGCAAGCAGCGUAGGGGAAACUUAAAGCACCAAUUUAGAUCCAAUGGACUGGACGUUCGACUGAGACUUCGAUAAAAAUUAGGGCAAACCCUAUUUGACGCUCGUUAGCGUCAGAAUGUUGUGCUUUCGCCGUGGGAGCCAUCGGUUGGGCCGGCCCAUGUACGGGAUUAGCGUUUACCGUUCGCUGCCGCUUCCUUCUCUAUUCCUUGCGUUUUUUUCCUUUUCUUCUAUGAUUUUUUCUUCCACUGUUUUCACUGUCUUGCCCGGGUUUCAGUUGUUUUCUUCCUGUUUUUUCUUUUUCUUUUUUGGUUCCUUUUUUCUUUUAUGUUUCCUUUUUUAUUUUCUCUUUCUGUUUUUCUUUUCUUUAUUGCGCAUUAUAUAAAAAGUUCACCACGUAUUACAAAAAUCUUCAUCAUAUUAAGAAAAAUGUUCAUCGUAUAUUAUGAAAUAGUGCACCUUGCAUUCUAAAAUUGUUCGUCGUGUAUUACAAAAAUGUUCAUAGUAUAUUAUGAAAUUGUUCAACGUACAUUAAAAAUAAGUUCAUUGUGUAUUUAAAAUUUGUUCAACGUAUAUUAAAAGAAGUUCAUUGUGUAUUUAAAAUUUGUUCAACAUAUAUAAAAAAUUUGUUCAACGUAUACUACAAAAUGUUCAGUUGUGUAUUUUAAAAUUUUCUAGUGUUUGUUUUAAAAAAAAGUUCUGUGUAUUUUAAAGUUUGUUCAACACAUAUUAUAAAAAUAUUAAUUUUAAAAAAUAACAUGAUUUGCCGCUGCCUUUUAUACUUUAAGACAGGUGCUGCAAUUUUACCCUUGUAGGUAGCUAGCUCGUCUGGUUGGCUCGCUUAGAUCCAGAAUGGGGUCGGUUGUUCGAUCCCAACUUGUGUGCUUCGUUUUCAAAUUUUUGCUCGACGCGUGCUUAUUGGGCCGGCCUGUUUGCGCUUGGCUUCAGUGAUGCCCGUCGCUCGGAAACAAUUAGUCGAGCAGAGGAAUCGAACUCGCGUCGCUGCACUGCUGUAGGCACUUCGCUAACCAGUAGAGCUACAUCACUACACUGAUGAAUAAUACCACGAAGUAUUUAAGGACAGCUGCAGCCUUCCAAAAUUUACAAUUUCACAGAUUAAAAAAAGGUUCACGAAUUUGUUUCAAAAAGAAAAGGUUCACUUAUUCAAAAAAGCUAACGAAAAUUGAAAAAAGUUCACAAAUUCGAGAAAAAAGUUCAUAAAUUUGCAAAAGUCCACAAAGUUUGAAAAAGUUCGCUAAUUCCAGAAAAGUUAACGAAUUAAAAAAAUUCACGAGUUUGAAAAAUAUUCAUGAAAAUUUCGAAAAAGUUCAUGAAAUACAAAAUAGUUCAAGAAAAUUGAAAAAAGUUCAUCGAUUUUCAAAAAGAGUUCAUACAUUUGAAAAAGUUCAUUGAUUUUCAUGAAAGUUCACGAGUUUUGAAAAAAAGUUCAUGAGUUUUAAAAAAAAGUUCAGUUAUUUUGAUAAUAGUUCAUUGAUCUUAAUAAUAGUUCCUCAACUUAGAAAAAAGUUUGUUGAAUUCAAAAAAUAGUUCAUUGAUUUGAAUAGAAGUUCAUCGAAUUCAAAAAAGGUUCACAAAUUGUAAAAGAGUUCAUAGAUUUUACCAAAAGAAUAGCAAAAAUGACAAAAGUUCACGCAUUUUGUCAAAAAAUGUAAGAAUAAAGAAAGAAAAAAAAUAAUAAAAAACCAAACAAAAUCGUUCAAAAAAUAUAGAAGUAAAUUAUCUUAAAAGAAGGUAAUUAGUCACGUCUGAAGAACGUUUUUUUUGAGGGAAUCGUCUGAAGAACGUGGCUUGGUGGUUAUGGCAGCGUUCUCGCAACCAUUAGCUCGCCAGUUCGAAUCCUGCCUAGUUCACUGUUUUUUUGCGAUUUAUCAAAAUGAGAACACAAUUAAAUGGGCUGGCCCAGGUCGCGGUAGGUGGUGUGCGCUGCAGGCGCCCGUUAACGGAAAUGCACGUUAACUGGCGCCUGCAGCGGCAAAUAGGAUUUGCCAAAAAUUAGUCGACUGAGUUUUAGCCCUUCCGAUACAAAUAUGAUACACAAUUACCAUACUGUCGAGGAAAAAACCAAAAAAGGCCAAGCAAAGUUUCCCACUAAUCAUUUGGUGACAACGAUAAUGAUAGUAUUAGUAGUAGAGGAAUCACUUGCGUUGGCAGAUGAUCUAUAUCAAGCAAAGGAGUACUGCCAUAUACCCAGGUCGCGGUAGGUGGUGUGCACUGCAGGCGCCCGUUAACGAAAAUGCACGUUAACCGGCGCCUGUAGCGCCAAAUAGGAUUUGCCAAAAAUUAGUCGACUGAGUUUUAGCCCUUCCGAUACAAAUAUGAUACACAAUCACCAUACCGUCGAAGAAAAAACCGAAACGGGCCAAGCAAAGUUUCCCACUAAUCAUUUGGUGACAACGAUAAUGAUAGUAUUAGUAGUAGAGGAAUCACUUGCGUUGGCAGAUGAUCUAUAUCAAGCAGAGGAGUGCUGCCAUAUACCCAAGCCUCUAUAUCUGGAAGCGUUUUUGCUCCAAUAUCUACCCACUUGGUUGAAAGUGACUCUUGGGUAGGUUCGAAACUGGCACGUGUAUUGUUUCGGUACGUGGAUGUGUACAAAUGAGUGGUGUGUCUAGAUUUUCAUUUGAAAUUUGUUGAAUGUGUGUGCAGCUUGGUUUGGUUCAUUUAGUAUUUUCUGUUUUGUGUGGGUCAAGUUCAUCUCCCGGCAGAUUUUUUGCUUCGAUGCUUCUUUCAGUUUUUGAUUGGUUAACCGAUGUUGGUCCGGUCGUCAUGUUGCUGUCGAUCUCCUGAUUGGUUAUUGGAUUGUGUUCUGGCCGCUGUUGGUUCGGUUGUCACGUCGCUAUCGAUCCUGCCGCUGUUGGGCCAGGUCCGUUUCUGGGUUCCUAUUCGUCAUCGGUUUGUGCGUCGGUUGCUGUUGGGCCAAUUGUUGUGUCGCAAUCUGGUCCUGUCACUAUUGUUGCGUGCGUGCCGCUGUUGCCUCGGUCGGUCUUUUUUUCGUUACGUGGUGUUUUGUUUCUUUCCGAUGGAGCGGUGCCGCUUUGCAGCGUUGGUUCGGGAGUCCGCUAGAUCGAUGCCGCUUUUCUGUGUUCCUUCAUCUCUGGAGGAUUCUGUAGCUUUUCAUGAAUAGACUUCCACCGUCGUCCACCGCCCACCGCUCAUCGAUCCAUCGUCGCUGCUCUACAAGCUAUAAAAGGAUCUCCUCGGUGUCCCUCCAUUAGCAUGUCUCCACGGCCCUUGCUCGAUCUCCAUAGAAGUUGUGUUCUUCUGUUUCUUUUCACUCACCACAAUCAAGCCAUACGGGGAGCGCAACCGUUGAAAAAGGAAAGCAGGCGAGGUUGAUCUUGAUGACGUCCAACUCCUCGCCGUCAAGGCCGUCCCAUGGGGAGCGCCGCCUGUCUCUCCCCAGGCACGCGGCCUGUUCUCUCCAGCGUUGGUUCUCCAUGCUUUUGCCGUCGUCGGGGGCGUGAGCCCCCUCUCCCUCUGCCUCCUGGUAUGUGGGACACGUUGUGUCCCUCGCUUCGCACCCUUCUUCUUAAUUAGUCAUGUGCAAGGGAGGGCCGGCGGUACAGUUUGGCUUUGGAAGCCGGGCAUCAAAUCCUGCUGUACAACGCUGGUGAGAUGCAACACCAAAUAUUUGAGUGGCGGCCAUGGUGGUUGCAGGGCCUCGGCCUGCUCUUCGAUCCUUUUCUCUUCUUUUUCUUCUGAGAUGGAAUGGUGCUCCGUACGCCGCAUCCCCGAGCAUGCCCCACCAUGGUCGGAUCCUAGCGGUCUGCAGCCUUCCUUGACGAGCGGCGUCACGGUCCAUAGCGUUGGUGGAGGCGGCGAUCAAGACGGCGGGCAGCGACAACAUGGAACCCUGGAUGUUGUGCGCCUGGCCAUGAGGAUCACGACCGACGAGCGGAUGGACGACAAUACCGCAGAGCUGUUGCUCUGCGACCAGCUGCUAUUAGCGCCACCCGGUAGUUAAUGCCGGCCACGCGCCACGCGCCUCGAGCUGCGUAGUUUUGGUAACCUCGAGCGCAUGUAGCUCAUAAUCCAAGAGAUAAUAGUAGAUCGGUCUAGUACUUUAUUAGUUUGCUGUUUUAGCCAUGAGUUUAGUGCUCAAAUACCGAGGCUCAAAAUUUAGCGAAGCAUGCUCUAUCACUUGGGUUGGCCCCCGUGUGUCAUUAGGCAAUUCGGGUGAUCUUUCUUUCGUCCCUAUAAACAUUGUGAUGAGUUAAAUAAAAGCUUCGUGAGAUUGUCUUAAAAAUAAGUAGUAGACACAUCCUCCGUUCAGAUUUCGUUACUUGGAUGCGUGCCGAUUGUUUUGCCUUUUAUUGCACGUUUAUGGAUGUUCGACCUUCUUUCUUUUGCUUCCAUAUAUGAUAUGGAAACAUCUUGCAUGUCAAACAUAUUCCGAGAACGCAUGCCUAUUUCACCAUUUCCAUUGAUAAUUUAACAGAGCAGACAUUGGCCUAUUGCAACCUACUACAGCGCAUGCACACCUUAUUACAAAUCUGACAGGACUAUCACCUAAAGAAGGAACAAAACAGCGGACACGGCGACCGCACCGAGCAGACCAACUCCGCCGGUGACGGCGUGACGGGAAGAGGAGCUUGCCGGACCAGGCGCUGGGGCGGGCGCGUGAUGAUGUGGUGACGGCGCAGGGGAAUGCUGAGUGGGCGCGUGAGCCGCCGCUGUAACUUGUUGGCUGCCAAGCCGCUCGGUAUGGUUGGGGACGGAUGUUGACGAGGACGGAGAGUGCGCCGGAGCAUGGUGAUGAUGAUGAUGGCGAUGGCGAUGGUGGUGGUGGUGAGCCGGCGCCGGUGCUGUAGCGUGGUGGCCGUGGUGGUGCGGGCUUGGUGCCUUGUGUAGCUCGUCGGCGUCGAGGUGGUACGGCGACGGCGCCUCAGAGUGAUGGCCGCGGUACCACUCCGUGUCUGUAGAAGUGUCCAGCUCAUCCGCGUCGAUGUGGUGGCUCGGCGACGGGGCCGGAGGGUGGUGAUGGUGGUGGUNNNNNNNNNNNNNNNNNNNNNNNNNNNNNNNNNNNNNNNNNNNNNNNNNNNNNNNNNNNNNNNNNNNNNNNNNNNNNNNNNNNNNNNNNNNNNNNNNNNNNNNNNNNNNNNNNNNNNNNNNNNNNNNNNNNNNNNNNNNNNNNNNNNNNNNNNNNNNNNNNNNNNNNNNNNNNNNNNNNNNNNNNNNNNNNNNNNNNNNNNNNNNNNNNNNNNNNNNNNNNNNNNNNNNNNNNNNNUGAUGAUGGUGGUGGCUCGGCGACGGGGCCGGAGCGUGGUGAUGGUGGUGGCUCGGCGACGGGGCCGGAGCGUGGUGAUGAUGGUGGUGGCUCGGCGACGGGGCAGGAGCGUGGUGAUGAUGAGCGCUCGGCGCGGGGGCAAGAUGGCCAGGAUGGUGAGCGGGGCUGGGCGCUUGAGCCGGCGCGUGGUGGUGGUCCUCGUGCGCCGAGGAGAGCGCGACCAGCGAGGCCAGCAGCAGUGCCAUCACCACGGCGGUUGGCGAGAGAGGAGUCGCCAUGGCAACAAGCUUUGGGAGUGGUGGUGGUGGAAUUGUUGCUGUGGUUGUGACAGUCGGGGAGCGGGUCUAUAUAUAGCGACGAGCACGCGUAUCUGGAAGAGGGGAGGGGGCCGUCCUCUCUACUAUGGAAAGUAUUCAAUCUUGCGCAUUAAUGCUUACUAUAAAAAUGCGAUUUCCAUUGAUUCGUUUCCGAUCGUCCAAUUCGCUACACUGGCAGGAAAUAAAUGGGUGUCAUUUAUUCGUGUAUACUCUCUCCGUCCAGAAAUAUUUGUGCUAGAAACGGAUGCAUCUAAAUUUAUAUUAAUUAUAGAUACAUCCAUUUUAUUAAACUUAUUUUAAUUAUAGAUACAUCCAUUUUAUUCAUUUCUAGGACAAGUAUUUUUGGACGAAGGGAGUAGCUGGCAGCAUUAUGGGAACAUAUGGACAUUUGACUGUGAUCUGUCAAAUAUCGUGUGAACCGUUGAGUAUAUUUACGAUAUUUAAAUUGUUGCCCACAGAAAAAAUCUCGACCAUUUAUUAGAAAAAUCAUAAUUGCAUCACGAUUAAUAUUAUAAAAAUCUUCCUAAAAAAGAGAGGGAAAAACCUACGACGCUUGCAGCAGACUGUAAGCAUCACAGGAGGCGGCCAAGGCCCAAGGGGCCGUCUGAUCUGGCAAGGUGCUGGCUGGAGCUGGCCCAAAUGUGCGGCUCGCUGGAUCAAACGACGGUUUUGGGCAUAUGCCGUGCAACGAGCCCAGAAAAAAUUACUCCUUUGGGGUGACCGGUGGUUGUUGGACUAAUUAAUGAUGUACAAACUUUACAAGAAAUAACUCGUAGCAUGGAGGUGCACAUUGCAAAAAUUAUAGAGAGACCAACAUUUAUUCUAACCAAGUUUGCUGGAAAGCAAGAACCUAAUCCGGGUGAGAGUGUACAGACGACGGGUGUGAGUCGUUGAACAUCGAUCCAUUCGCGCCGCCCGCAACCUCCAGUUCUCCGGUGCUCCUCGCCUCGCCGCCGCAUGAGGUCCUACUGGCGAAGUCCGGCCAGGGCUGGGGACGACACCGACUGGGCGUUUCCCUGCGGUGCCAUCACUCUCUCCUGGUUUGGUUUUUGUUGAUGGCUACGACUCGUGGGCGGUACCGGCUAGAUCUGUGGUGGAUUGUGGCCAUGGGAUCCAUCUUUCCACUCAAAGUAUUAAUUUCUUCAAUAGCAUGCACUUUUUUAGUAGAAGAUUUUUCGGUAUGCCAUUAAAAAUAAUUUGAUAUAAUAUUAUUUAGGAGGUUAGUAGCUUCUCCUAAUGUGAUUUCCAUAAAAGUACCACCCGCGACAAAAUCUAAAAGAUUUCUAGAUGCAAAAUUCAAUCUAGCAUAAAAAAUUUGUAUGAUCAUCCAUAAACUUAAACCAUGAGUAGGGCAAUUUCUUAUCAUUAAUUUCAUCCUCUUCCAAGAUUGUGCAACAUGUUCAUGAUCAAAUUGUUUAAAAUUUAUUAUAUUGUUCUUAAGAGAGAUGAUCUUAACGGGAGGAAAAUACUUGGAAAUAAAAUUAUCCUUACACUUAUCACAUGAAUCAAUACUAUUUUUAGGCAAGGAUGAAAACCAAGUUUUAGAGCCAUCUCGUAAUGAGAAGAAACAACUUCAAUUUAACAAUAUCAUUAUCCACAUCUUUUUUCUUUUGUAUAUCAUGCAAUUUAGCGAAAGUAUUAAGAUAGGAUGCAACAUCUUCAUUAGGACUACCAAAAAUUGUUGAUUCAACAAAGCGGCAUUAAUUUUAUAAGAUUCCGCACUAGUGAUGGGAGCAAUUGGAGUACUAAUAAAAUCAUUAUUAUUAGUGUUGGAAAAAUCACACAACUUAGUAUUUCUUGAGACAUCGUGACAAAGCAAGCAAUCUAGCACACAAGAAAAAAAAGCAAAUGAAAAGACAAAUGGAAAGAAUGCAAAUAAAAAGGCAAAUAUUUUUGCUUUUUCUGAAAAUGUUUUAGAAAUGGGGGAGAGAAAGAUGAGAGGCAAAUAGAGAAUAAUGUAAGUGCAGGAUAUGAUAGUUUAUGGUAGGUACUUGGUAGGCUUGAUGUAGAUCCUCCCAGAUAACGGCGUCGGAAAUUCUUUCAGCUACUUCUUGAGCUUGCAUUGGUUUUUUCCUUGAAGAGGAAAGGGUGAUGCAGCAAAGUAGAGAUAAGUAUUUCCCUCACUUAAGAACUAAGGUAUCAAUCCAGUAGGAGAAACACACAAGUACCCAAUGAUUGCACUUACACAAACAAACAAAUACUUGCACCAACGCAAAAAGGAGUCGUCAAUCCCUUCACGGUUACUUGGAAGGAUGAGAUCUGAUAGAGAUAGUAUAAAAGAUAAGUAAAAGUGCAAAAUAAAGUAAAGAUAAAUAAAUUGCAGCAAGGUAUUUUUGUGUUUUUUGAUUUAAUAUGAUAAAAAUAGACCCGGAGGCCAUAGUUUUCACUAGAGGCUUCUCUCUUGAAAGGAAGCAUACGGCGGGUAAACAAAUUACUGUUGAGCAAUUGAUAGAAAAGCGCAAAGUUAUGAUGAUAUCUAAGGCAAUGAUCAUGAAUAUAGGCAUCACGUCUGUGAAAAGUAGACUGACUCCUGCCUUCAUCUACUACUAUUACUCCACACAUCGACCGCUAUCCAGCAUGUAUCUAGUGUAUUAUGUUAACAAGAACGAAGUAACGCCUUAACCAAGAUGACAUGAUGUAGAGGGAUAGAUCCAGUCAAUAUGAAUAAACCCCAGCUUUUUAUCCUUAGUAGCAAUAAUACAAAUACGUGUCAUGUCCCUUCUGUCACUAGGUAUUGUCGGAUUUCGGGUGCCGCAAACCCUUGAGAGGCUCGAACUCUGGGGUGCAUGCGAAGAACUCAACCUCCCCAGUCUGCCUACUCGCCAAUCUCAUAGCCUAGGUCGACGAACUCGAAGGAAAGGGGACACGAUAGUUUACCCAAGUUCGGGCCACCUUGCGGUGUAAAACCCUACUUCUGCUUUGUGGUGGAUUUGGCUCGAAGGGCCGAGGAUGAACUAGUACAGAGGAGAACAACCUCAGGAGGUGUGUUCUUGAGCUCGAGCAAGCUGGUGAGGGUGGAAUUGAUUCGAUCCUCUCCUAUGGUGGUGGCUAGGUCCUAUUUAUAGUGGCCUUGGUCCUCUUCCCAAACAAAGGCGGGAAGGGAUCCCACAACGGCCAAAUUCGAAGGGAGACAACUAGUACAUCUUAUCCUGACAAAAGUGGUCUUCGCCUGUAAAAGCUUCUGGUCAUGAUGCCACGGUGGGCUUGGCGAUGACCUCCAUCCUGCCGUCCUGGCGAUCUUGGCCUUGUUGCACGGGAAUGGAAACCUUUGGCUGAUUCCCCGGGACUCCGUGCCUGCGCUUGUCUUGGCACCAAAGAGGAAACUGGUACACUGUGCCCGCUGGCGCCCACCUGGCCUUGGUCAUCAUGGCUCACGUCACCCGAACCUCGCGAGGUGAGCCUUGCAUAGAAAUCUUCGCUCCUGGGGAGCCAUCCUAAGGAGGCUGCUCCCUUGGAGGUCUUGGUGUCGUUCGCCUCGCGAGGCUUGGCCCCUCGCGAGGGUCUUGAGUCGUCGAAGUCGAGGCUGGGCCUGUCAGGACCCCGAUCCUAAGUCACACUGAUCUAGCAUGUAACACAUCAUAUCACUUUGCGGCCUCACGCACGGUAUUCCCACAGGUGCCACCUUACCUGGCCCGGGACUGUUUGCGCCUUUUGGCUCACGUAUAUGACAGUGCCGCUAGCAUCCAUAUGACAAAGAACCCGGGUCGACAUGACUAGUUGUAAAUCCAAGGUGACGCUAACUUACAGGGACAGGCAUACAUGACCCAGCAACGAAUGUGUCAAUCAACAACGUAUGAACCCAAGUUGUAGCAAGCUACAGGGACUUAAAGGAACAACGAGUGACAUUUCCCCGAAGAGACAGACACAAGAACGAAGAAGGACACAUGCCGGCCAGCCUAAGUGUUCUGGAGCAGUAGCAAGCUACCAUGGCUCAGUGGAAGCACUAGGAGACAUUUCCUGGUAAGAGAGGCUACCAAGAAUAAACAACUAGGUUGUCGGAUCCCACACAUACCAAGCAUUUCAAUGACAUACACACAAUAUGCUCGAUAUGUGCAAAUACAACAUGGCAUCACAACAAAACUCUACGACUCAAAGUAUUUAUUCAAUAGGCUCCAAGGAGCCAAGUAUUACAAUCAUGGGUAUCAUGACCCAACAAUCAGAGCAUACAAACUAAAAGCACAUGCAGAAGCUUAACAUGUCUGAGUACAUACAACUACAAAUGAAAAGGGCUGAGAAGCCUGACUAUCUACAAGACCCUCCAGAGGGCACAAGAUCGUAGCUGAGGUAACAAGCUAAAUGUCGAAGUCCAUGCAAAACUACUCGUGAGACUGGAGUCUCUCUGCAAAAACAUAAAUUAAGCAAACGUGAGUAUAAAUGUACCCAACAAGACUUACAUCAGAACUAUCUACACAUGCAUCAGUAUCAACAAAAGGGAUGGUGGGGUUUAACUGCAGCAAGCCAACUUUGACUCGGUGGCUAUCCUGAACUACGACUGCAAGUAACUCUUUUGAGGUGGCGCACACGAGUCCACAUAUUCACCAUAACAAUACACCACUAUGGAUCCGCUCCCGUCUCCCUACGAGAACGCCAUCCAUAGCACUCACGCUUUUCUUGCGUAUUUUAGAGUAUCCAUUUUCACUUGUCUAUGAACUAUACAGGCAACCCAGAGGUCCUUUACCGCGGAGGUGGCUAUUCGGAUAGAUCAUUUAUAACCCUGCAGGGGUGUACUUCUGCACACACGCUCUCGCCACUUACUGCCAUGUACACGUCAUGUAUCUCGGCAAUCUUCAAGCGAAAGCCUGGUGAGGGUGUCGGCCAUGAUCUGACUAACCACACAAGUCCCUAGUCCAGGUUUAUCGCAUAUUCAGGUUCCAUCUGUAGGGAGUCCGGCCGAGGUUUCCACAUACGGCCCCGAACGAUGUGUGCAGGGUUCCCAGGUCACCAAACGGGCGACUCGGUACAUCGGGCCACAUGCCUACUGCAUCACAGCCCACCCCUCAGGUUAGCGCUGCGCACGGCCUCCAGCAUACUACAAACACCAGAAACUACUUGCAACUCCCGGAUAGAGGACAUGGGCGGUUAAUAAGUUGAGAGGGUCCAUUGGUUUCAGGUCCAUCGCGUGGUAGUAGUUGUUCAUGGAUCACAAACACAGAACUCAGUUCCUGAGGACGGUUUCAAUGAGACAACCCACCACGUACUCCUACAUGGCCUCUCACCGCUAAUUUUACCAAAUCAUGUUCACACACUUAGCUCUCACAUAGUAGGACAUGUUCAUCACCAUUCCAAUGCAUCCCCGAUGAAUCAGACCUGACUCAACUCUAAGCAGUAGCAGGCAUGGCAAACAAGCAUGAAUGAGUAGGCACAUCAGGGCUGAAACAACUCCUACUCAUGCUAGUGGGUUUCAUCUAUUUACUGUGGCAAUGACAGGUCAUGCAGAGGAAAGGGGUUAAACUACCACAUCAAGUAACAGAUGAAUCAUUGUUGUCCUAAUGCAGUAAAAGAGAGCAGGAGUGAGAGAGUGGGUUUGUAUUGGAAUGAACAAGGGAGUUUUUGCUUGCCUGACACUUCUGAACAUAGUAUAGUUCUUCAUGGGUGUCAUAGAUCACAUCGUCGGAACGUCGUCUACACAGAGGGGACAAAUACCGGCAAACAAGGAAGAACACAACCAAUGCAAUGCACAGUAUGAUGCAUGAUCAUGACAUGGAAAUAUGCCGUGAUUGAGCUAAUGCAACUAAAACCAGAAGGGUUUGAGCUAUUUGAACCCAAGGUUCAAAUUCAAAGUCAAACUAAGAAUUUAUAAAGUGCAUUAUCAUGUUUUGAUCUAACAGCAAGGUUAAGUUGUUUAAACAUGCAUGAAACCAGUACAGAUGGAUAGAUUGAAUUUUUUGAUCAUUUUUCAUAUAUAAAACUUUUCAUUCUGAGUUACGGUUGAAUUUAUAUGAUUUUUAGAAGUUUAAAGAAUUUUCUAGAAUUUCUAAAUCUUUUCUGAUUUAUUUUAAUUCCAGAAAGGCUUUACCGCGUCAGCACCGCGUCAUCAUGACGUCAACGAGUCAACAUGGUGCGGUCCUGGUCAAACCUGACGUGUGAGUCCACACGUUAGUGACUAACUAACUAACCUAAGUUAAUUAGUGUUAAACUAAUACCAACUGAAAGUGUUAGUGGAGUUAAUUAAACUUAAUUAAAAACUAAACUAGGAUUAGCAAGGGCCAGGGCCCACUCGUUAGCGACCCAGGGGAGGUCAAACCCCUGGUCAGAGGGGUCAGACCCACCGGCGAGGCCGAACACGGCGGAGGCUUCGGGUUCACUACUCCGGCGACCAAACGGCCGGCGGAGAGCAUCUACAUGGAGUUGGCGGGGUGGCGCAUCCAGUGGUGGCGGUGGCUGAAGCUAGGGUGGUCGGAGUCGACAAUGGCAAGUUCUAAGGCGGUGACCGAAGUUUGAGCAAGCUCGGGUUCGGGGGCUACGGUGUGCAAAAGGACGAACCGAAGCAACCGCGAGGCUCACGUGUUGUUGUGAAGCGUUUGGAUGCACUGGCGCGACCAAAUGGUCGCCGGAGCUACGCUAGCGACGAGCUCCUGUGGCGGAGCAUCUCAGCUCCGAAGGAGGAGGCGGCUAGUGGACAAAAUGAGCUCGAGGAGGAGGGGGAGAGAUGGCGGAGCUCACAGUGAGUGCAACGGUGGCCUCGGCGAGCUCGGGGAGGGGCUGGAGCGUGUGGGGCGGUGAGGGGGAUCUCUAGCAGUUGACGAUGAAGAUGAAGACGACGACGUUACUUCAGGCGUCCCGCGGGCGCGUGCUUCGUCUUGGUGCUCCGUGGUGUCAAGGUGGAGCCUCUGGACAGCACGGAGAGGCGGGGUGGUGGCUCUGGCCACGACAACGACGAGCGGCGGCGACAGCGACGCUCGGAUGGUGCAGGGGACAGAACAAGAGGAGGGGAGAGAGAUCCAGGGGGAGUGAGAGGUGGUCGGGGAGGUGCGUGGCGAAGCGAGGGAGUUCCAGGGGGUCAAGGGGGCAGCUAGGCAGGGAGGAGGUGGCCGCACGGCGGUGCGCGUGCGUCGGGCACGCGCCCGUCCUCCUGGCAGGGAGGAAGACGGCAGGAGGGGGUGGCCAGGCGGGCUGGGCCGCCAGCUGGGCUGCCAGGUAAGGCCCAGGUGGGUUUCCCUCUCUCUCUGCUUUUUCUUCCGUUUUCUAUUUUCUAUAAUUGUUUUGGCUUUAUUAAAAAAUGCCAGCGCAUUUCCAAAAAUCGUGAGACUGCUUGUGGCCACUGUUUGGAUUAUUUCCAACAGUAAACAUUUCAGUUCAUGGAUAUUUGGACGUUUAAAAUAAUAUAUAAAAAUUAAAUGCCCAAAUGCAAAUAAGGUAUGAUUUAAUUCAGUGACCCAAUGUUGUCCUAGAAAAAUGUGAACCAUUUUUGUUAGAGGUUCUAGACCAAGGCAAAGAUGAUGAACAUUUUUGAAGGGCAUUUCAGGUUCAUUGAAAACUAUUUUAGUAACCCUAGUUGGAUUAAGUGGUGCUGGGGGUUUCUGUCAUCCCCAUUUCCAAGUUUCUGAGGAAUUUAAACAUGAUGCAACACUCUAAUGCAUGCACUGACUAGGGUUGUGACAACUCACCCUCACUAAACAAGGAUCUCAUCCCGAGAUUCAAGCAUAGGGUAAGAUGAAGGGGGGACACAGACUAACACAAUCUUCACGAUCCAGGUUGCACUUCAUAAGAACAUUGAUUCGAUCACCAUCUUUGUCUCGAUGUCUUGCUCUGAGAACUCCAACCAACAUGACAACGAGAGGAAAGGGAAAACUCUAGAAGGAUCGAUCUUCUCGAAGAUUGAACAACUCAGGAUCAACUCACGGAGUGAGACAUUGAAACAUCUCUCGAGCUGAGACACGAAGCAUACAUCCAAAGGGAUGGAGUGAAACAGAUGAUGAAGGCUCACUAGGUAGGUAACAAUUCCACACCUAAGAAGAUGGUGGACGAAGUCAGAGUAGCGAGGAGUUAAUUGCUAUGAUUCCAUAGCAGGGCACCUCAAGGAAGGUGACUUGUAGAAUCAUCCCUUAAGUGGCAAAAAUAAUUACUUUUGAUUCAGAGAACAUUGAAAUUCUCUAUACCAGCCUAAGGCAAAUCAUAGUCGAUCAUUUGAAGGAGUCCGAAAGAAUGACAUACUCGGACUAGGAUGGGUGAGGUGGACUACCUUUUUGAUGACAACACAAUGGAUGAUUUUAUUUAUCAUCAAAAAUGGAUGGAACCCAUGGUAGGUCCACUUUUGAAGAUGAUUCUGAAUAACAACCACUGGAAGGGUAGACCAUAGUGAGAUGGCACACUGGCGAUGCAAGAUGGGAACAAGAUGAAAAUGCUGGGAAUGAUUCUAGUAACUGGGGAGAAACCCAACAGUAGAGAGUGAGUCCACUGUUUGAAAGGUUAUAGCAUAACCGAGGAAACUGAGAGCACUAUGCAAUUAAUGUCGACAAAAAAACCUAGUGCUUGCGCGUGCUCUCAAGAACUUGAGCAUUUCCAUAUUCAUCAAGGUUUUACCAACAUCUGCCAGAUCUUGGUGACACCUUGUACUACCAUGAUGAAUAGUGAUGGAGGGUGCAGAUGCAAGGGAAGAUAACAUCUUCUCAGAUUUCACCUUAGCGAGGCCAAGGACACAAAAUCUAGAUGAUCGACCGAGAGACAUUUAGCAUUCCGCUUCUAAUUCUCCUUGAUGUACUAGCGUAACCCAUUUAUAGAUAUGGUUUGGUAUCUUGAACAUCAAGUAAAAGGUCGGACUUUGGGAGCUCAGGAAUCCAUAAGGAAUAACUAUGGAAGUAAAUCUUACGAAAUCCUUAUGGGGAGGUGGCCAACUGCCUCAAUCAAAAUACUACAAUAACUGCUCUUCCGGCUGGGUGUGUUGGCCACGACAUCCACUUUACGGGUUACAAAGAGACCAAUAUUAUAGUUCUUGGAAAAUGUUCCAACCAUCAUAUCUGCCUGAGAUUCAGAUCUGGUUGGUGUCAGGAUAUUCUAGACUCAUCAAGUCUAGAGAGAAAAAUGAAAGUUUGCAACACAAAUCGACGAGACGGCAUUGCGAGAUUCUCGGGGAAUGAACUGCGAUAGCAAGCUCCAAAACAUGAGCUGGUUCUGCUACACAUAUGUGAACACGCUGUCCCAGACAAGCAUGACCACAUAGUAGUCUUAUAAUAAAACACUACCGAGUUCAGGUGGGGAACCAUCAUUUCAGAUAACGAAGUCCUUGAUUAAGCCCGGGUUAGCUCUUAAAAGGAACUCCUUCUCCUGGAACAAAUCGGUUAGUGGCUUGGUGUGCUAGCGAUACAUAUGGAGUGAAGGUUGCAAGUCUCCAAACCAUAGAAUACUUCGCACGUAUGCAUGACCUAUUUGGGAUGAUUCCAGAGGAAGCAACAUUGACUUUCUCGAAUUCACGGCGGCAACUUGCAUCAAAUGCACAUGAAUGGGAGAAAAUCACUUCUUACAUCCGAACAUAUGCUUCAUGAGCGGGACAUGAAGAUAAUGCUUAUAAAAGUUUCCAACACUAGCUGGAUGUUCAACACAAAUCAUGGAGAGGAUAAAAUGCUACUGAUGAGCUCAACAACAAGUCAUCGAGAUUCCCAUGGAGAUGGAAUUCCACAAUUAUGUGAACAAGGUGAUAGCAUUGGUCAGACCCAAAAGAUAUAAUGGUGUAUGCUUGAGGAAACAAUCAUGAGUAAGACAACAUUACGAAUAUCGUUGGUACUGAUUUGAUUUGACGAUAGCCCAUACUUAAAUCAAAGAUUCAGGUAAGAUAAUAGGUCCAGCAAUUGAUCACGAAGACCAAUCAAUGGAGAUAUCAUAUUUCUUCAACACACAUAAACAAAAAUAUCCCUUUAUAAUGAACUAAGUUAGGCAAGCUUUUAUCUUCCAACUCUCCAAGUUGUUGUCUAGCUUAACCAACUAGCUCAGGGGUGUGCAACACAGAUUCUUGGAGAAGGGGUGGUUACAAGAAACCAACUUGAUCACGAACUCAACAUAACAGUCAGGGGACAACUUGGUGAUACUUCCAAGAAGAUAUUUGAAAAAUCACAAACCACCGAUAUGCUAUUAAUCUCGAGAACAAUCUUGCUUUUCAGGGCAAGACGAGAUGAUCAAAUAAGCAAGGGAUUGACAUAAUCCUAACUCAUUGAUCGAAGAGUGCACCAAAAAUAAGGACUAGGUAGCACAAUCUAUCUUAGAAUGAUGAUUCAAGAACCAACACACUAGGAAUGAAGUUAUUGUCCUUUAACUACCAAGUAACAAGGUUGCUAGGGGUAUUGAUUUCACACAUCAUAGUUCACCUAUCGGUAUUCCGGUUGCAACAACACAGGAACCGAUAAAUGAAUAAUGAGGACGAGAAGUAUCACUGUAUCAAGAGUUCAUUGGAUGGUGUGCAAUUCCCAUGAUAUUCUUGAUAUAAAGAUGGUAAUACUCCAAGGUAGAACAUAACAAAAGCUGGAUUGGCAUUUUGAUCUACGGAAUACAACUGCUUUGACCCAAUCAUGGAUAUGGAUGAGGUACUGGAGUUUGUUUCUCCUAGUCAUUCCGAAUAGAAUGGCUUGACGGACCACAAGAAUAAUAGGCAUCGAUAACAUGAAUGCAUAACUACUCCCGACUAUCAAUUGAUAGACGAGGGUCAGAAGACAACUAAAGAGGGACAACUCAAAGGAACAUACGAUAUUCUGAGUUGUGGAUGCAUAGAUUAGUAUGUCGAACGAGUUCAACAUAUUUCUUCCGGAUAACCCAUGCAGAAAAGUAGAACUGGCAGAGUCAUAAUAUGGAAUGGGAAACUCAUCGAGAGCACUCUUAUUGUGAUCUUUUGGUUCAAAGAACUUCUGCCAUAAGCAGUUCAUGGUAUUUGGAAGAACGAUAUACCACGAACCUCGAAGACUAUUGCAAAGGUUACUAAUAUCCUAAAGUAACUAGAAAACACUAUCAACAUGGAGUAAGUAGGUGAAUCUUGGGUUUAAGAACCCAGGAAUAGAAUGCAUACUAACUAAAUGGCAUCACGGGAUGCUUUCGAGAGUAAUGGCCAGAAUCAUCACACUGGAACACAAAACAUGGCUAGAUUACUAGGUGAUACUCUAGACACCUAGGGUCAUAAUAAUAGCUUCAACAUAUAUGCCGAGGCGAUAGAGUACCUCAACACACUAGUUAGUGCGGUUUAUCUGGCAUAAAGAAACUUCGGAAUGGCAAGAAGGGAGGUACAAAUGCAUCAGACUAUUUUAGAAACCUUGGAUGACUCGGACAUCAUAACGGCUGUAAAUGCUCAAAAUGAUUUGAGACUUCCUGCAAAAUGGUGGCAUAACCACUCAACAUCACAAUACCAAGGUUCCGAGGCCAACUAUGAACACACGGAAGUAGUAGAGACUGAACUGAGGCUUAAAUCCAUCAAUCCUAUAAGUCUACAGAUUAGUAAGAUGUGAUCUUGAUAGAAAGAAGAGGAAGCCUAGUUUGUCGGCGUUCUGGAUAUGGGGGUACCCUGACUUGCCUGCCUGCGGCCCACUACGCGGCUCCAUCGGUGGCCUGGUAUGACCCAACUUCAGCAUCGACAGCUCAAGACCCUCGCGAGGGGCCAAGCCUCGUGAGGCAGACAACGCCAAGACCCCUAAGGGAAUCAGCCUCCUCAGGUUGGCUCCCGAGGGGCGGGGAGUUCUAUGCAAGGUGCACCUCACGAGACUCAGUUGACAUGAGCCAUGAUGACCAAGGCCAGGUGGGCGCCAGCGGGCGCAGAGCGCCAGUUUCCCCUUUGGUGCAAAGGAGGCAAGCGGCAGGUGCGGAGUCCCGAGGAACCAGCCAAAGAUUUCCAUUCUGGUGCAACAAGACCAAGACCGCCAGAUGGCAGGACGGAGGUCAUCACCGAGCCCACCGCAGCGUCAUGACCAAAGGCUUUUUGCAGGCGAAGACCACUUUAGUCAGGAUAGGAUGUAGUACUUGUCCCCCUUCAAAUCCGGCCGUUGUGGGACCCCUUCCUGCCAACAUUUGGGAAGAGGACCAAGGCCACUAUAAAUAGGACUUAGCCUCCACCAAAGGGGAGGACAGAAAGAUCAGAUCCCUUCUCAUCCAGCCACCUCACCAGCUCUCUUGAGCUCAAGAACACCUCGCCUCCUGAGGUCAGUUCAUCCACUAUAGUAGUUCAUCCUCAGCCCUUCGAGGCAAUCCACCAAAAUGCUGGAGUAGGGUAUUACAACGCAAGGUGGCCCGAACCAGGAUAAACUACUGCAUCUCCUUGUCCCUUUGAGCUUGACGCGCUAGGCUUAGGAGGAUCGCGAGUAGGCAGGCUGGGUAGGUUGAGAUCUCCGCACGCACCCCAGAGUUCGAACCUACCAAGGGUUUGCCGAACCCGUAAUCCGACAUUUGGCAUGCCAGGUAGGGGUGCGUCGGAGAUCCGCUGCUCCGUCCGUCACAUCGUGCCUCCGGCUUUGAUGGCGGGAGCUCCUUCGUCGACUCGACCGUCGCGUGCCUUUGAGGGGGGCGAGGGGCUCCGCGCUUUCAACCCCUCCUUGUGACGGGUGGAUUGGCCACCUAAGUUCAAGCCAGAGAUGUCGCCUCGCUACAAUGGCACGGUGGACCCGACUGGCUUCCUCUAGGCAUACGAGGAGGCGAUCUGGGCGGCCAGCGGAAGCGACAAGGUGAAGGCCAACUGGCUCCCCAUGGCCCUCAUGGGUGCACCGUGUGCCUGGCUGCUCAACCUGCCGGCAUCCUCCGUGGCCUCCUGGGAGGAGCUGCACGGCCUCUUUGUCGCGCGCUUCAAAGCGCCGGCGCCUCUCGUCGUUGUAUCUCUCCUAGGUGGCUCGCAGGCACCACCCUCUGACCGACACAUCAAGCAGUUCUACCGCCAAGUGAGCACUGCCCAAGUGAGCCCCGGGGCCCCUCCGGGCUAGGCAACGCCUAUGGCUGACCUCGCCUUCGGACCAGAAUAUCAUCCAACAACUACGGCAGGAGCAGGCGCGCUCUCGAUGCUCUGCACCCCCACCAUCUGCAACGUGGCACUCACCAAGACCCUCAUCGAUGGCGGAGCCGGCCUCAACGUGCUCUCUGCAGAGGCAUUCGGCCUGCUACAUGUGCCCCCCAACCGGCUCCGCCCCACCAAGCCUUUCUCCGGAGUCGGUGGUGGCUUCACCAACCCCUUGGGGCAGAUCUGCCUCCCCGUCACCUUCGAGACCCGGGACAACUACCGCACCGAGCUCAUGGACUUCGACAUUGCCAGGAUUGACCUACCAUACAAUGCCAUUCCAGGGUACCCCGCUCUGGCCAAGUUCAUGGCGGCAACCCAUCCAGCCUACAACCUCAUGAAGAUGCCAAGAAGCAACGGUGUCCUCACGGUGGCAGGGGACACCAAGGACGCGCUGCAGGUCCUCAAGCUCGCUUUUAGGUCUGCGGCGUCUGUGCUGCCUGGUGAGAAAGGGGGCCCUAAGGCCCCAGGGGCAGCGCCAGCCAAGAAGAAGCAGCUGUUCUCCCAAGACCGAGCCGAGAUGAAGCAAGUGGUGGUCAAUGAAGACGGGGCAUCAAGCUCCACCUUUACCAUAGGAGCUGGCCUCCCUCAGGGCUAAGAGAAAGUGUUGGUCGACUUCUUGCACGCCAACAAGGACGUGUUCGCAUGGGAGCCCAAAGAUCUGGUUGGGGUUCCAAGGGGAAUAAUCGAGCACCACCUGAAGGUAUGCCCAAACGUGCAUCCAGUGAAGCAGAAGGCCCGCCGCCAGUCCACCGAGAAGCAGGCAUUCACUACAAAAAAAAGACACAUCCGUGACAUUUUGGGCCGAACGAAUUUUUUUUCUGUCAUACAUAUGACACUUCUAUGACGAUAAUUGUGACAAAACCCGGUAUCAUCAAUGAUGUGGUGGGCUCCUACUUCUAUGACAAAAAAUCAUGACAGAAAAUGGGCUUUUCGUCCUGGGCGGGCUGGAGACGCAGCUGCAUGACAUUCUUUGGGCCGUCCAUGACGGAAAAAACCGUGGUAGAAGCGAGGGGGAGGAAAAUUUCGGGGAGUUGCCAGUUACGGUGGGAGGUCGGGGGCGGAGCGAUGCGUGUUUCUCUCGUACGUACGCGCGUGUGUGCGAGGCGUUGGCUCUAACUGAACCCGAGCGAGGCGUUGGGCUCUAACUGAACCCGAGCGAUUGCACUGUAGGCUACGCGUUACUGAACCCGAGCGAUCGAUCAAUGGCUGUUAACUAAACCCGAUGGAGCGAUUCCUUCGCUACUGCUGCUAACUGAAGCCGAUCGAUGCUGCCUCUGGGAUGAACAGUGAGCUUUGUGGGGGUGGGGUUGGAUGAACAGUGAGCGGUGGCGUUGCCUCUGGAUGAACAGGAACCCAUGGUGUGGAGGGCUGGAUGAACAGUAAACAGUGGAGGGGUGGCCGUGGAGGGGUGGUUGAAUAGGACCCCGUGGUGUGGAGGGCUGGAUGAACAAUAGACGGUGGAGGGGUGCCCGUGGAGGGGUGGUUGAACAGUAGCCGGUGGAGUAGCGCGCGGAGGAGGCUGGAUGAACAGGAGCCUGUGGAGGCUAGAGGAGGUCGACGGUAGCCCGUGGAGGCUGGAGGAGGUCGACGGUGGAGAUGAACAUUAUCCCGUGGAGUCCCAUUUUGCGGUACGCCACACCCCUCCCGAUGAACAGGACCCCUGUUUCGACCGUUGCGCUCCAACACAAGUCCGUUUCGUCCAUUUUGCGGUAUCCACACCCCUCCCGAUCAACAGGACCCUCGUUUCGACCGUAGGAGGUCCGUUUCCUCCGUUUUGCAGUACGCCACACCCCUCCCGAUCAACAGGACCCCCGUUUUGACCGUAGGAGGUCCGUUUCCUCCGUUUUGCGGUACGCCACAACCCUCCCGAUCAACAGGACCCCCGUUUCGAACGCGGUCGGUCGAACACAAGGCCGUUUCCUCCUCUGCGGUACGCCAGGCCUUGUUUCCAUCGCCUGUUCCGUCCAAGCCCUCCCAAUGAACACGACCACGCAUUCCGUUCCGACCCAGCCGGUUGGCUCCCACGCGUUCCGUUGCCUCCCGAUGAACACAAAGCAUUCCGUUGCCUCCCCAUGAACACGACGAUGAUGCUGUUUCUCCGUUUCGCCCCAGCCAUGUACGUAUGCGUGAGUAGGCGUUCGAGACCCUGCCCGUAUGUACAUACAUGGACAUAUUUUCUUUCUUGCACCCGCGCCGCCGUACGUACGUGUACGUGCGCGCCUCUACUACGACCAGUAUGUACGUACACGUUCACGACCAGAAUGACAACACUACGUACGCUUCGACCAGGUGGGUCCCGACUAUCAGGCACUUCCUUGCGUGCGAAGAUGUAGCUGGUGGGUCCCAGCAGUCAGGGGGGCGAAUCGUUUUUUUUGCCCGGACGCACUUCCUUGCGUGCGAAGAUGUAGCUGGUGGGUCCCAGCAGUCAAGGGGGCGAAUCUUUUUUUUGCCCGGACGCACUUCCUUGAGUGCGAAGGUGUCGCUGGUGGGUCCCAGCGGUCAGGGGGGCGAAUCAUUUUGUUUUUUUGCCCGGACGCACUUCCUUGCAUGCGAAGAUGUAGCUGGUGGGUCCCAGCAGUUAGGGGGAAACAUUUUUUUCGCGAAAUACAGUGGCCCGUCCGGUGGGUCCCAGCUGUCAAGUGGAAGAAUCAUUAUUUUCCGCGUAAUAAGGAGGCACUUCCUUGCUGCGGCCGUGGACCCAGCUGUCAGCCUCUCCACGUAUAGUCCACGUCCGAUGGAAGUCGUUCCUUGACCACGUUGACCACACUGCGCCGAGAGCACUAUUGCGAUGGACGACGGCAAGGCCUAGGAAGGGGACGACGGGGAGCCGGGGAAGACGCGGCAGUGGAAGGCCACACGGAGAGGAGUACGAGGGUUCACUGGUUCGGCUGCGGUGUGAGGCUGCCAUCACCGCAGGGCCUGGCCAGCGGUGGGAAUAGUAGGGGGCGGUGAGGCCACCGCGGCAGCACAGCCGGCCAUGGGAGGUAGAGCAUGCAGCACGACCGACGCUGCUUUGGGCGGCUGGAGCAAGAAGACCGGAGGUUGAAGAAGCACUACGACCGUUGGAUGGACAUCGUACGGUCACUGGAGCUAGAAUCGUUCAUAUUGACUAAAGUUGACAAAGGCCCCCGUCCCAGUUAACUUAGUAGGCCCACAAGUCAGCCUCCCACCAUGGUGGGUCCCAGCUAGCAAGGGGAGUAUUCAUUUUUUUUGUGCGUAAUAAGGAGGCACUUCCGGUGGGUCCGAGCUGACAGCGCGGGGAACAUUUUUUUCGCGAAAUACGAUGGCCCGUCCGGUGGGUCCCAGCAGUUAGGGGGAAAUGUUUUUUUCGUGAAAUAAGGUGGCCCGUCCGGUGGGGCCCCGCUGAUAGGUGGAGGAAUAAUUAUUUUGCGCGUAAUAAGGAGGCACUUCCUUGCGGCCGCCUGGACCCAACUGUCAGCCUCUCCACGUACAGUACUCUUCCGAUGGAAGUCGGUCAUUGACCAUGUUGACCACACCAUGCUGAGAGCACCAGGGCGGUGGUCUGGACGACGACGAGGCCUAGGAAGGGGACGACGCGGAGCCGGGGAAGACGCAGCAGUGGUAGCCCGCGCGGAGAGGAGUACGAGGCUUCACUGGUUCGGCUGCGGCGUGAGGCUACCGUCGCCGCAGAAUAACAGGGGGUAUGGGUGAGUAGAGGGAUACCCUGGGCCAGUGGUGGGAGUAGUAGGGGGCGGUGAGGCCUCCACGGCAUCACAGCCGGCCACGAGAGGCAGGAGCACGCGACACUACCGGCGCUGCUUUGGGCGGCUGGAGCAAGAAGACCAGAGGUUGAAGAAGCACUAUGGCUGUUGGAUGGACAUCGUACGGUCACUGGAGCUAGAAUCGUUCAUAUUGACUAAGUUAACAAAGCCCUCCGUCCCCGUCAACUUAGUUGGCCCACAAGUCAUCCUCGCACUAUGGUGGGUCCCAUCUAGCAGGGUGGGUAUUCAUUUUUUUGUGCAUAAUAAGGAGGCACUUCCUUGCGUGCGAAGAUAUAGCUGGUGGGUCCGACAUGUCAGCGGGGGGAACGUUUUUUUCGCGAAAUACAGAGGCCCUUCUGGUGGGUCCCAACUGUUAGGUGGAGGAAUCAUUAUUUUGCACAUACAGUCCAUGGCCGAUGUAUCUCGUUCGUUGACCAUGUUGACCAGGCCGCGCCGAGAGCACCAUGGCGGUGGACGACGGCGAGGCUUAGGAAGGGAACGACACGAAGCCUGGGAAGACUCGGCAAUGGUUGCCCACAUGGUGGGGAGUACGAGGGUUUACUGGUCCGGCUGCCAUCGCCGGAAAAUAACAGGAGGUCUGGGUGAGUAGAGGAAUGGCCUGGCCAGCAAUGAAGUAGGGUGGGGCGGUGCGGCCUGUGCGGCAGCACAACCGGCCACGAGAGGCGGGAGCAGGCAGUCCCACCGGAGCUGGUUUGGGCGGCUGGAGCAAGAAGAUCAGAUAUUGAAGAAGCAGCACGGCCGUUGGAUUAACAUCCAAUGGUCACUGCUGCUAGAAUCGUUUGUGGACUAAGUUAACAAAGCCAAAGUACACGUCAACCUAGUAGACCCACAAGUCAGCCUCCAAAUCUGUCCCAAACAGCAUACGACCCGAAAUUUCUAGUCGGAUUCAAAUUAAUUUUAAAUCUAAAUAUACCUUAAUUUAAAUUCAAUGAAAUUUUACCCGCACAAAAACAAUGAAAUUUAAAAUAUCAAAAUCCAAAAGAAAACAACAUUUUGGGAACUAAUUGCCUGUUUGCUGUAAUUUUUUCAUUUUACAGCCCAUUUAUUAUUACUUAUAGCCCAUUUUCUGGGCAAAAUGCAUCCCUCCUCGUCUUGAAAGAUUUCCGGCCCAGCAGGGCGUAGAAAAGCAAGUAGGCCUAUGUUGGUUAUUCUGCAAAAAACAAAAUAGCUGGCUAGCCAUUUUUCAGAAAGGAAAAAAACAAACUGGGCUGGUCAUGUGCUAAACAUAUGAAAUAAAAGCCUGGGCUAGACGGGCCACAGGUCCCGCACAACCCAUUUGAUACCCUUCUCCGUCCCGAAAAAACAAAAUUACUGCGCGCGCUGCUGGGUCCCUACUGUCAUCGUCACCAUGUACAAUCAUCUCCUUAUUCCUCUCGGUUGUUGACCAUGUUGACAACACCGGAGGGCGGCGCCGCGGCGAGCGUGGAGGACGAUGGUGAGGCCUCGGACGGGAACGAAUAGGAGCCUGGGAAGAUCAUAGCCAGCCGUGGGAGGUGGGAGCAGGCGGUCCUGCCGGCGCUGGUUUGGCUUUGGUGGCUCGAGGAAGAAGAGACUGAAGAAACGCGAUAGACAUUGAAUGUCAAUCAAACGGUCAAGGUUGGCACAAUCGUUUUUUGACUAAGUGGACACCAAGUAGCAUACUUUUUUAUAUAUAGGAAGAAAACUGCGAGGAAAAUGCGUUCGUCUGCCGUCCUCCUCACAGGGAACAUUCGCCACAUAAGUGACUAGCACCCUUGGUUUUCAACCAAGAGGUCUUGGGUUCGAAUCCGAGGAACUCUCAAUUUUGUCCUCCUUCCUUCCUCGCAAAAAAAUGGAAAGAAAAUCAAAGACUCGGGAAGACGUACAAAACAAGCUAAUGUACCAGUAAAGAGACGUUGCCGAGUUUUAGAAAAAAGAAAGACGUGCUCCUGUAGCUGGUUCGAAUCCAAACCUAGACUAUAACUAUAUAUGGUGCUAUGCUACUCUGCAAGUAAUGAAACUGACAUAUCCAACAUUCGCUUCUCCUCUUCUCUACUUACUCUGCCUAGCAUCAGAAGCUCUGGCCGCAGCAACCAUGUCCGCUGGCUGCUCGUCCACCUGCUCUUCAGCAGGCAACAACCAGAUAUGCGCCAAGUUGCCACCCGUACCAUCGCCUGUGGGUCUCAUCACACGCCCGCCGGCACGCGCACUGCAACUGAUUGCUCAUCGCAACCCACUACCGUUGGUGUGGUGCCAUUGCUGCAAAUUACGCAGAGUCAUCCGUCGCGUCUCAACCACAAUCCGCAACCCUGGCCGAGUCUUCUACAAAUGCCCGAAUCAUGGGGUAAUAAUAUGUUUAAGUGUUCUUAUGCUGCUUUCAAUUGCUGAUUUUUUUAAUAGUUUGGUUGAUGAUCUUCCAAUUUGAUUCGUGCAGAAAAGGGAAGAUUUGUGUGAUUUGUAUUUCUGGGAAGUUGCUGAUGUGGGGGAAUGCAACUAUGCUGAUUAUUUGGUUAGCCGAGAAAUCCCAAUACCAGCAGGUUGGGGUGUUGGACAAGUAACUGAAGGAACGACAGAAGAGGAAGAUGCAGAGCAGAAGGUUAAAGACGCAGUUCCUUUGAUCAUGGCCAAGCAACAACUGCUGAACGGCCUUGACAGCAAUGAGGAGAUGAAAGAGCUUGUGAAGAUAAUGGGCAAAAUCGAUGUGCUCUGUAGGAUGAUUGUCUCUUUAUUUGCAGUGUAUGUAGCACUCGUGAUGUAUUCAGUGGCUAUGACAUGAGCACUUUGCUGAAACUAGUAAUGAAUGAAACCUGCGUAGCAGGCUGGGCAUAGUGUUGUGAACAUCUAAUGAUUUCUAUUAACAGAAAUCAGGGGGUAUCCCCUUUUGCUCAUUAAAUAAAUAGAUAGCAGAGGCCCUGUCGGGUCAGGUUUGUUCUCAUUCGAAGACGUCGAGCAAAUUGCGGUCCAACAGCAAACUAUGUCAUCAAAUUGAAGUUUCACACCCAAAUAUGAGUACAACUAAACAACAAUGUCAUCAUGUUUUAGUUGUCAUACAAUCACCAAACACAAAUCAGCAUACAUAACAAGUGAUGUUCUCACAGCAAAAUACUAAACAACAUGUUCAUCAGGUUUCAGUUGUCAUAGCAAACACAAUUUCACAUAGUAGAUAAAAAACGUCUUCUAACAGGCAAAUACGACAAAAGCAAUGUAAUCAUCAUCCGCAGCAGCAGCGUCAACAUCUUCGCCAUGUGUAUCAGUCUGAAUCGUAAUUCCCCACGGUGUCAUCUUCUUCUUCAUCCUCAACGUCCUCGAACAUUGGCUUCUUCUUGAUCAACUCUUGUAUGUCCAUAGCAUGAUAGGCAAUCUUUUCGCCGGCGUCAUUGACGUGAUGGUUCUCAAAGUUGUUAGGAACAUAUGUGUUAUCUUGUACAUCAGGAGCAGUGUAAGCAUCAUCUUGUUGUGCAACUUCAUUAAACGAAUUCCUCUGCUCAAACCUUUGCAAUACUCUCCAGCCAUCGCUACGUGCAAAUGUGUCUUCCAAGAAAAAUAUCUGUGUUGCUUGAUUUGCCAAAAUAAAAGGCUCGUUGGUCUGGUACACCGCCUUGACAUUGAUGGAUUUGAAAUAAUCAUCAGCUCUGGGUUUUGCGAUCCUGGAAAAUAGGUUAUACCAACGACAGCACAACAGAACCACACACCGAUGAUCCUCGAAACUGGAGAUAUACUGCAACUGAACAAUGUCUGUUAUGUUAGCAUACAUUUCAGUUGUCUCUUUGUCAUACAUAUCCGUGCUCAUUAUGGCACUGUUUUGUGUCUUCCUGCCUUCGUCUCGUGCAAGGGUGUUGUAGCGCACAUCUCCAACAACGCAAGAUUCAUAAUGUCUUACCCGAGUAUCAGGACCCAUUGCUAGUGAGUAAAGGGCAUCAUCAACUGCCUGCCCAUCCUCCCGCAUCUUCUUAACCUAUGGUUAGAAAAUAGACAAGCUGAUCAUCUUAUGUACUCAAUAUAUUAAAAAAACUGACAGUGCACUUCAAAAGCUUACAUGGUUCUUGAACCAUUUCACAAAUCCUGCCAUAACCAGUUUGUCAAUGUUUCUUGGAUUUUGCGGCAGUAACUCCUCUUUGUACAUGCUGCACAACAUAGUGAUCACGUCAAACAUCUAAAUAUAUAAGAAUGUGCUGCAAGUUUAGUAGAUUAUGAUGUAUAAGCUGCAGUACUGCACUUACUUGAUAUAAGGUAGUAUCUCAGGACAGUUAUUCAACACAUACCAAACCAUUUUGUCCAAAUCUUUAGGUUUGUCCUCUUGUCGACUCUUCCCUGUAACUCGAACAGAAUAAUCGAAAACACUGAGCCCGGGAUUGUCUUCACCCACCUCUUUGCUAAGCUGAUCAGCUGUUUCAAUGUAUUUUGAGCAGAAUGUCAACGCUUCUGUAGCAAUGUAGGCCUCUGCAAUGGAACCCUCAGGUCUAGCUCUGUUCCUAACAUAGCCCUUGAAAGUGCCUAGCCGCCUUUCAAUAGGGUAAAUCCAGCCAUACUGUACUGGACCUCUAAGUAGUGCCUCAUCAGGUAGAUGAACAACCAAAUGCACCAUCACAUCAAAGAAGGCCGGAGGAUAUAUCUUCUCAAGGUCGCAUAGGGUAGUUGGUAUCUUGUCUCUAAGAUGCUCCAAACCAUAUAUCCUGAUAUUUCUACUGCAGAGUUCCCUGAAGAAUUGUCCCAACUCUGCAACUGCUCUGUAUAAGUCAGGGCGGCCCAAUCCUCUAAGGAUAACAGGUAAAACCCUUUGAAGUAGGACGUGUCAGUCAUGAGUUUUCAACCCUUGUACCUUGUUUCCAUCUGCACUGACUCUCCUUUCAGGGUUGGAAGCAAAUCCAUGUGGCAAUCUCACACGUGACAGGACCUCAUAGAAUUCUUUUCUUUUUACCUUGUCCAAGAUGUACACAGCUGGUGCCAUAUCCCGUGGUUUACCUUCAUCUUGCACCUGCAAAUCCUUUCUGAUACCCAGGUGUGUCAAAUCAAUCCUAGAUUUUAAGGUAUCUUUCGUCUUGCCUUCAAUGUUAAGAAGUGUGCCGAUAAUGCUGUCACAUAUAUUUUUCUCGAUGUGCAUCACAUCAAGAUUAUGCCGCAGAUCCAAAUCUUUCCAAUACUCCAAGUCCCACAAAGUGGACCUGCGGGUAAACAAUAAUCUCUUCUACCGUGCCAUGCUUCCUUUUCCCGCUACCAUUACCAGGAUGGUUUCCUGGUGUAAUAUGCCUGACCUUCUCUAAUUCCACUUGCAACUCAUCGGCGGUGAGCCUCUUUGGCGCAUCACGGUUUUCAUGCUUUGCAUUGAACACAUGUCUUUGGUAUUUUCUAGGAUGCGGCUUGUCCUUGGCAAGGAAACAGUGGUGUCCAAUGUAACAGGUCUUGCUAAGUAUUGCGUAUGACAGCGGAUUCCUGUCACAGCGAACACAUGCAUUGUAACCAUGUGUCGUUUGCCCUGACAUAGUGCCCAAAGCCGGAUAAUCAUGGAUGCACCAAAUUACAACAACACGCAGAAAGAAAUCAGCUGGUGGGCUUCUAUAUAGGUCUCGAGUGAGAACACCCUUCCAUAGCUGUUGAAGUUCCUCCACAAGAGGCUCCAUGAACAAAUCAAAAUCCUUUCCAGGACUUUUUGGACUUGGGAUGAACAAGGCCAUCAUGUAGUUUGAUUCUUUGGUGCAGACAUUUGGAGGCAUGUUGUAAGGGAUAACAAGCACUGGCCACAUGCUAUAUGUGGCGCUCUGGUGGCCAAAUGGGUUAAAUCCAUCUGAAGCUAAGCCAAGUCUAAUGUUUCUCGGGUCAGCAGCAAACUCUUUGUGUUUAUCAUUGAAGCUUUUCCACUCACUACCAUGAGAUGGAUGGCUCAUUACAUUCUGAUCUCUGUACUCCUAGUUCCUAGAAUGCCACAAUACAUCCUCUCUUGUUUCAGCAUCAUGAAACAACCUCUGCAAUCUUGGUGUAAUUGGAAAAUGUCUCAGAACAUUAUGAGGAACCCUCUUCACAGCUUCACCAUCUUUCCAUCUUGAUGAUUUGCAUUUGGGGCAUUCACUUAAGUUGGCAUAAUCCUUCCGGAACAGAACACAAUUAUUCUUACAAACAUGGAUCAUAUCAUAUCCAAUUCCAACUACACGAAGGAAAUUCUUCAUUUUACUGUAGGUGUGUGGCAGCUCAGACGCAUCUGGGAAAGAUUUGCGGAAAGCAACCAACAUCGCAUCGAAUGAUUUGUUGGUCAUCCGCUCAGAUGUCUUCACCUGAAGAAAGGUGACCAUAGCUGAGAAUACUGACAGCUUAUUUCCUGGGGUGACAACAAUGUUGUAUUGUUCCAACAUGCAGGCCCACCGUUUUUCUUCUACAGGUGAAAGUUCACGGAAUGCACGAGCAUUUCGUAGCAUUGUUUCAAUGUUGGUCAAGCUCACUGGCUCCGCCACCACCACCUCCUCCUCCUCUUCCACCUGAGCAUCAAGCAGAUCAAGAUGGUGAUCUGCUGCUUCCACGUAGUCAAUAACAUUGACGUUCACAGCUUCACCAUGAUGAACCCACCUAGUAUAUGUGACCGACAUCCCAUACAAGUGUAGAUGAUUUUGCACAGUUGACUGGGGUCUUGUAACUGAAUUCAUACAACUGCUACACCGGCAGAGCACAUCUGAUUUCUGACCACCGUACUCAGCUCUGAUAAAGUUCAUGAAGUUUUCAACCCCCUCGACAUAUGCAGCGGAGAAUCUUCAAGCAGAAGUUAUCCAAGUCCUGUCCAUCUGUUAGACAUACAAAUUAGUUCUUCUACUAGAUAUUAUAGGAAAAACAUAUAUGCUUUUUUAUGAAGUCCAGAAAAAAAUACGUAGGUCGAUGUCUAAAGCUAUGGCAAGAUAUUUGGACGAGCAGAUCUAAGUAACGAAAUAUAUGUAAAGCUAAUUCAGCAAACAGAUUUGAGUGCUAAAUUAUGGCAGGCUGUUUCAGCAGUCAAUGAGCCCGAGCACACAGCCAUCGAACUAUCGAAGGCCAUCGCAGCAACAAAGAUCGAGUAUAAAACGGUGUAGAGCUAUUUCACCUAACAGAUUGGCUACUAGACCAUGGCAAUCUACGUCACAGUAAAUAUAUGGCAGGAUAUUUUAGCAACUAAUCGGCCUUGGCAUGCCAUCUCAGCUAAGUAGAUUGAGUGCAGAACAGGGCAAGGAAGCUUCUUAAGCAGAGCAUAUUGAUAGUAAACUACUUCGGCAAACAGUGAGAUUAACAUCGUCUAUCAGCUAACAUUCAGCGCUACACCGACAUGAAUGGGGCCUCAGUCUAGAAUGCGCGUACCGUGGGAGAAGCUGACCGCCGUGCGUCUCCACACGAACGUCGCCAGCGGUGGCGGCGCUGACCGCCAUGCGCCUCCACAAGAAUGUAGCCAGAGGUGGCGGCGCAGCUAGAGGACGGCAGUCUACGAGAGCAUACUGUGGGAGCGAGAGGAUCGCCGUGCGUCCCCUUGAAGAACCGCGGCGCCGACGUAUCGGCACGGCGGGGAGGGCGGCUUUGGCGGAGCGAAUGGAGUNNNNNNNNNNNNNNNNNNNNNNNNNNNNNNNNNNNNNNNNNNNNNNNNNNNNNNNNNNNNNNNNNNNNNNNNNNNNNNNNNNNNNNNNNNNNNNNNNNNNNNNNNNNNNNNNNNNNNNNNNNNNNNNNNNNNNNNNNNNNNNNNNNNNNNNNNNNNNNNNNNNNNNNNNNNNNNNNNNNNNNNNNNNNNNNNNNNNNNNNNNNNNNNNNNNNNNNNNNNNNNNNNNNNNNNNNNNNNNNNNNNNNNNNNNNNNNNNNNNNNNNNNNNNNNNNNNNNNNNNNNNNNNNNNNNNNNNNNNNNNNNNNNNNNNNNNNNNNNNNNNNNNNNNNNNNNNNNNNNNNNNNNNNNNNNNNNNNNNNNNNNNNNNNNNNNNNNNNNNNNNNNNNNNNNNNNNNNNNNNNNNNNNNNNNNNNNNNNNNNNNNNNNNNNNNNNNNNNNNNNNNNNNNNNNNNNNNAAUAUUUGGCCGAAGGGCGGUUGAAUCGAAUUUGGGGGGAAUUUGUGUGUGUGUGUGUGGGGGGGGGGGAGUUUGGCGCAUGGUCGGUUUCUCCAAGUGCAGUCCCACGUGUCAGUGAAGAGGCAAGCCGAAGCGCGUUCCGUUUGCGUGAGCCGUGUGCAGGACCGAACGUGUGUGGGGUGCAAUGCGACCGCGACAGGCGCCUUUUUUCCUUUUAAACUAGGUGCUUCGCCCCCUCAAAAAAAUGUUGCUUCGCGCGAUCCAUCGAUACUACUACUGGUAAUCCGGUAAUCCCGACUAAUAAAACGGCGCAGCCGGGUCUUUUCCCGCGCGAUAUGCUGGGAGGUUGGCUUAGUUGGGUUUUUUAGAUUUGUCUCGGUUCAAUAAAAAGCAGAGUUGGUGAUGAUGGUG
rnacentral:lncRNA from 1 species